CCUACGGGAGGCAGCAGUGGGGAAUUUUGCGCAAUGGGGGAAACCCUGACGCAGCAACGCCGCGUGAGUGAUGAAGGCCUUCGGGUUGUAAAGCUCUUUGAGUGGGGACGAAGCCCCACGGGACGAAUAAUCCCGUGGUCUGACGGUACCCACAGAACAAGUUCCGGCUAACUACGUGCCAGCAGCCGCGGUAAUACGUAGGGAGCAAGCGUUGUUCGGAAUUAUUGGGCGUAAAGCGCGCGUAGGUGGCUUGUCAGGUCCGAUGUGAAAACCUGGGGCUUAACUCCAGGCCUGCAUUGGAAACCGGCUUGCUAGAGUCUGGGAGAGGAGAGUGGAAUUCCUGGUGUAGCGGUGAAAUGCGUAGAUAUCAGGAGGAACACCGGUAGCGAAGGCGGCUCUCUGGAACAGUACUGACGCUGAGGCGCGAAAGCUAGGGGAGCAAACAGGAUUAGAUACCCUGGUAGUCCUAGCCGUAAACGAUGGACACUAGGUGUCGGGGGUGUCGACUCCCUCGGUGCCGAAGCUAACGCAUUAAGUGUCCCGCCUGGGGAGUACGGCCGCAAGGCUAAAACUUAAAGGAAUUGACGG
rnacentral:rRNA from 1 species